CUCUGGACCAUGGAGACAGAAGGGACGCAGGUAUUGGAACAGAUACCGAGGAGUAUGCAGUGGUUUGGCAUUUUCCAGGAAAUUUUUAAGCUUGGAAAUCUCAGUGAAGAACAUCUGUCCCCCUCAUAACUUACCCUCUCAGGCCUAAGAAAAAAAUGAAGUAACACAAAUGAAAAAAGAAGUUACUCAAAUGCCAGCAAGGAAAUGCAGUGCGCACUGAAGGGAAGCAGGUGCAGAUUAUGUACUUUUUAUGUACUCCUGUUAUGAACCUACUUAAUUUUUUCCUGAUUUGUGAAUAAGCACUCGGGGCUUGCAUUCUAAACUAUUUUAAAAGUGUUCCAUUUUCAAAAGAGAAUGGAAUCCACGCGUGGACAUCUGCAUCCAUGUGCCCACAGACACCUAGUGAGAGCUGCUGCCAUUCAGCAGUAUAAAGAUGGAGCCUGGGGUUCUGCCCGUCAUCCAGCCCUUCUGCUGAGGCAACCGAGAGGAAAAAGGACCCUCAGAGGGUGAUUGAUCCCAUCCUGUGCAGACACUGUGAGCCUCUGCUUUACCCGCCUGGGAAAGCUGGACAGCUGUUCCUACACUAGAGAACAUUUUGUGGGUGCAGAGAUGUCCCCAGGAGUGAAGCUGCAAGACACAUUGCCUAGUGAGUGGAGAGGCUGAGACUGUAUCCUGAUCCUGGGGGACAACGUUGGGCUUGGCUGCAUUUGUAUCAGAAGAGGUUUCUAAGAGCACUGAAAUGGAACAGGGAGAGACUGAAGCGUGAAGGCGGCGGCGGCUGAAGGUGACCUUAAGGAAAACCAGAGAGGGCUGCGUCGCUGGGCAGGGAACCUCCUCAUCACUGCAUCUCUUUAUGCUGCACCAGGCACGUUUUCAACAGCCUAGUGAACAAGACCACCACAGGAAAAUUAUGGUAGAAACACACAAUUACCAGGUGAUCUGCCCCCGUUUACAACCAUUGCACUGUUGGGCCCUGUUGCCACUGAAAUACUGCAGGAGAAGCCUGUAAACAUGUAGCCUUACAGAUGUCAUCUUCUCAUCUGGGAUCUCCAGAGAGCCCAUAAGCUUAACACAGGGGCUCAUCAGUAUCUGGAUGGAGGACUCAAGAGGACAACUGCAGUGUGCAGUGAUAAUUAAAGCUGGGAAUCUGAUCAGAAAGGGCUUCUUGAAUCCCUGCACAGACUGGCUCAACUGGCAACUUCAUCACGGUGCCUCCUGGGGUGUCUGUUGGUCAGGGAUCCCGUCAAGAUCUCAACGCAACAAGUGAUUGCAUGGGAAUACAGACCACCAGGAAACCGAGUCUCAAAUGGGAUUUAAUCCAACAAGUAUUCUGUCCAUUUUGAGGGAAGCACAAUUUAGCACCAAAACAGCAGAAAGAGAAGGAUAGCACUAGUUACUAAAUCAGAACACUAAUAUCCUGGGUUUUCCUUCUCAGCCUCUGAACCAGACUGAAAUAUGCUUUGUUUGCAAGAGCCGAUGAAAUCAAAGUUCCAGAUGGGAUAGCUACAAGCUAUAAACUUGUACAAAAAAAAAAAAAUGCUCAUUUUUGGAUAUUGCAACAAGGAGAUGUAAAUAUUUCGUGUGAAUUUGCAUUAUGAUGAAACUGAAGAAUUCUUCAGGGGAAUCCUACCCGCACUGGCAUCAACAGCAGGUUUCCCACUGGCUGAAAUGGCCCGAAUGCCAAUCUUUAUUUUGCAGUGCAAUACAGAAAGUGGUGCUGAGUUAGUGGGGGGUGGUAUUGUGGGGUGCUCUGCAUUUAGUUUCUAAACUACCAGCUUUACCCUGAUAUAUGAACACUUCUGAACUGCACCUGAAUUCCAGUGUGUUUGUCCUCUUGACAUUUAAGAAAAGCCUUUUUACAGGUCGAAGAUAAAAGUACUUGCCAGCCCUCUUAUGGGGCCUGUAAUGGUUUAGAACAGCAGUGAACUGAAGGCAAAUCUCUCAAAUCCUUGGCAAGCAGCCUCACAACCAUCUUAUUUUGUAUCACUAAAUUCAAAGCCUUUUGCAAGGACAAGGAGUCACACAUUCAUUUUGUUUUCCGUAUUCUCAAACUUUAAAAGGUUUUAAAAAUGUGUUUUGUUUGAAGAGUGUGACAAAACUUGAUUAAAAAUAUAUUUACUUCUAGAUUCAGCAGCAAAGAGAUGAUGUGCCAUUUUCCAAAUUUGCUGAUGAAGAGAGGGAACAGAGAUUUAGUUUCACAAAAGAAAAUUUAGUGCAAAUCAAACACAACUCAAGCAGAAAAAUAAUUUAUCAGCUUAUCCUCCUAAUGAGAAAAGAAAAAGAGAUGGAAGCACACAUUUUUGGCAGCGUAACAACAUUAGCUAGAGAACAUUAAAUAAUUAGUUGGCAGUGGUGAGCCUUUGAUUCAACUACUUUGCUAUGAAUGAGUUUUGCAUUGCAAAGCAGGUUUGUAAAAUUUAACACAGUUUUCACACCAUAAAUUUUCCUCUUAUGUUCAGUAUCUCAAAAUUGGCUGGGCCGGCUGGACUUUAAUGCUGUUGCACGCUGGCAAAAUAUAUUUUUCAAAGACACAAAUGGAAGUUAAACAUCCAGCUCCUGACUUUCAGGAUGACUUUCAAUGGGAGCAAAUUAUUUAACCACUAUUCACGUAGGAGAAAGAAAACUUAACAUGUGCAGUAAAGCACAGCUAAAAGAAAAAAUCCCUUGCUGUACAGCUCAGGAGAUGGUCAGUUCCAUCUGGACCAUUGAAACACAUAAUUUCGCCAAAUCCCUUCUCAGCUGCUUGCACCAUCCCUUGCUUUUGCUGCAGCAUGACACCAUGUAUAACCCUAAUUUAACGUUUUCCUGACAGAACGAUCAAUUAAAAACCCACUAUACAAAAACCAGUACAGAUUAUUCUGAAUGAUUUCUGUUUGAAAGCAGCUUCAUCUAGAUGCACAUGCCAGCACACCUAAGAGGAAAACUGCCUUCAGUUGGGAAUGGUAAGAAGCAGAUGGACCGUGCUGGACAAUAAUCUCUUCAAGCUGGCCCAGAAAACAGCACACCCAGAUUCAGCUUUGUUUCUGCACAGCUGCUUCCAGCCCAGUGGAAGGGCCAGCUCCAGGAACAUCUCCUUCCAGAGCCAUCAGCGCUGUGUGCAGAGUGGUCACACACAACCUCCACCUCUGAAAACCAGGGAGCUGGAGAACGCAAGGCACUUGUGCAAGAAAAAGAACCCCCUGUUCCUUUUAGUCUACAGUUCAUGCCCCUUCAGUAUUGUGAAGGACACAACCAACCCUAUGGCAAGGCAGUAUCAGAGCUGAAUUCACAACUCCCCUUCAAAACAGGAUGCUUGAUGCAACAAAGUUGACAUUUUUUUCUACUUUUUAUCUGGGUCUACCUAUGCUCAUUUCAGAACCAUUAGAUUUUGGUGUUGUGAUUUUAAAAAAGCCUGCUUUUCAUUGUACAGUGUGGUUUUACAUUAUGAUACCAGAAACCAAAAAUCUUUCCAAAAGUUCUGUUAAUAAAAAUCCUUACAAGUAAUACAGCUGAUCAGAUAGCUUCACUAAGAUUUAGGAAGAAACAUCAAAACCCACAUAAUGGGCAACCAGGGGAUCAGGCCUAGUCAGCAUGGGUUUAUGAAAGGCAGGUCCUGCCAGACGAACUUGAUCUCCUUC